GACGAACGCUGGCGGCGUGCUUAACACAUGCAAGUCGAACGGAAAGGCCCUGCUUUUGUGGGGUGCUCGAGUGGCGAACGGGUGAGUAACACGUGAGUAACCUGCCCUUGACUUUGGGAUAACUUCAGGAAACUGGGGCUAAUACCGGAUAGGAGCUCCUGCUGCAUGGUGGGGGUUGGAAAGUUUCGGCGGUUGGGGAUGGACUCGCGGCUUAUCAGCUUGUUGGUGGGGUAGUGGCUUACCAAGGCUUAGACGGGUAGCCGGCCUGAGAGGGUGGCCGGCCACAUUGGGACUGAGAUACGGCCCAGACUCCUACGGGAGGCAGCAGUGGGGAAUAUUGCACAAUGGGCGGAAGCCUGAUGCAGCAACGCCGCGUGCGGGAUGACGGCCUUCGGGUUGUAAACCGCUUUCGCCUGUGACGAAGCGUGAGUGACGGUAAUGGGUAAAGAAGCACCGGCUAACUACGU
rnacentral:rRNA from 1 species